rnacentral:snoRNA from 1 species
UGAUCUAUCCUAAUCCUGCUGGCCAGCCUAUGGCCUGCCAGGUUUCACUGUGGACCAUAGCGCCCUGGCAGCCUCAUCCAAGGAGUGAGCAAGGGCUCAUAUCCUGGGAGCUUCUCCAGACAUGC